GCUGUAGCUCAGUGAUAGCACUUCUGCCUUGCAUGCAAAAGGUCCCGGGUUCAAUCCCCUGUAGGUCCC